GCUUGGUUCUGAUACUGAGGUUACAGGGCACCGAGCUGGAUUCUGAUACUGAGGUUACAGGGCACCGAGCUGCGUUCUGAUACUGAGGAUACAGGGCACCGAGCUGAGUUCUGAUACUGAGGAUACAGGGCACCGAGCUGGGUUCUGAUACUGAGGUUACAGGGCACCGAGCUGGGUUCUGAUACUGAGGAUACAGGGCACCGAGCUGGGUUCUGAUACUGAGGAUACAGGGCACCGAGCUGGGUUCUGAUACUGAGGAUACAGGGCACCGAGCUGGGUUCUGAUACUGAGGAUACAGGGCACCGAGCUGGGUUCUGAUACUGAGGAUACAGGGCACCGAGCUGGGUUCUGAUACU